rnacentral:rRNA from 1 species
UACAGAGGUGGCAAGCGUUGUUCGGAAUUACUGGGCGUAAAGGGCGCGUAGGCGGUCUUGUAAGUCUUGUGUGAAAUCCCUCGGCUUAACUGAGGAACUGCACGGGAUACUGCGAGACUUGAGAUCGGGAGAGGGAAGCGGAAUUCCGGGUGUAGCGGUGAAAUGCGUAGAUAUCCGGAGGAACACCGGUGGCGAAGGCGGCUUCCUGGACCGACACUGACGCUGAGGCGCGAAAGCUAGGGGAGCAAACAGG